GUGUCAGCAGCCGCGGUAAUACAGAGGGUGCAAGCGUUGUUCGGAAUUACUGGGCGUAAAGCGCGUGUAGGCGGCUUUUUAAGUCGGACGUGAAAUCCCUGGGCUUAACCCAGGAACUGCGUCCGAUACUAUCAGGCUAGAGUGUCGGAGGGGGUGGCGGAAUUCCCGGUGUAGAGGUGAAAUUCGUAGAUAUCGGGAGGAACACCUGUGGCGAAGGCGGCCACCUGGAAGACAACUGACGCUGAGACGCGAAAGCGUGGGGAGCAAACAGGAUUAGAAACCCCCGUAGUCC
rnacentral:rRNA from 1 species